rnacentral:rRNA from 1 species
UGAGGAAUAUUGGUCAAUGGGCGCAAGCCUGAGCCAGCCAUCCCGCGUGCAGGAAGACGGCCCUAUGGGUUGUAAACUGCUUUUCCAGGGGGAGAAUUUUUCUGUCGUGACAGGAAUUGACGGUACCCUGGGAAUAAGCAUCGGCUAACUCCGUGCCAGCAGCCGCGGUAAUACGGAGGAUGCGAGCGUUAUCCGGAUUUAUUGGGUUUAAAGGGUGCGUAGGCGGAUUGAUAAGUCAGUGGUGGAAACCUGCAGCUUAACUGUAGACUUGCCGUUGAUACUGUCAGUCUUGAGUGUGGUCAAGGUAGGCGGAAUGUGUAAUGUAGCGGUGAAAUGCUUAGAUAUUACACAGAACACCGAUUGCGAAGGCAGCUUACUGGGCCAUUACUGACGCUGAUGCACGAAGGCGUGGGGAUCGAACAG